rnacentral:ribozyme from 1 species
CAUUUUGAAAAGUCAGCAUGAAAUGAACGGAAAAAAGGAAAAAUACAGAAGUACAAAUGGAAAGAGGUACCACU